AAGGUAAGCCGGCACUAGUGCUUGUAAACUUAGCGAUUUAAAGUUUCUUUUGAGACCGAAUGCAAAGAGGUUGCUUUGUUAUGAUGUUCAGGUGUUAUUUGUCUGUUUGUAACUAGUGAAGAACGAAUUGAUUUUGACGAGCCGUAAGCCAUAUGCAGCAGUAUGAGUGUUAGCUAGCCGACGUCACGUGUGUUAGCCUCGGUUGCGGUUUCGUUUUCAUGUUAAACUCAUACGGGGUUUCUUGUCACGGGCAGGAGUCUCAGGUCGGCUGCAUUUACACGGUUUCUCAUAUGCUGCAUCCUGUUAUUCUGUACAGAAUAAAUACGCCAAGUGUUUGGGCUGAAUUUC